GAUGAACGCUAGCUACAGGCUUAACACAUGCAAGUCGAGGGGAAACGACAUCGAAAGCUUGCUUUUGAUGGGCGUCGACCGGCGCACGGGUGAGUAACGCGUAUCCAACCUGCCCAUCACUUGGGAAUAACCUUGCGAAAGUAAGACUAAUACCCAAUGACAUCCCACGAAGACAUCUGAAUGGGAUUAAAGAUUUAUCGGUGAUGGAUGGGGAUGCGUCUGAUUAGCUUGUUGGCGGGGUAACGGCCCACCAAGGCAACGAUCAGUAGGGGUUCUGAGAGGAAGGGCCCUCACAGUGGAACUGAGACCCGGGGCAAACUCCUACGGGAGGCAGCAGUGAGGAAUAUUGGUCAAUGGGCGAGAGCCUGAACCAGCCAAGUAGCGUGCAGGAGGACGGCCCUAUGGGUUGUAAACUGCGUUUAUAAGGGAAUAAAGUGGGUCUCGUGAGACUUUUUGCAUGUACCUGAUGAAUAAGGACCGGCUAAUUCCGUG
rnacentral:rRNA from 1 species